GCACCCAUGGCCUAGUGGCUAGCGCUGUUGAUUUUGGAUCUGGGCACCCGGGUUCGACCCCCACUGGGUCA